GACGAACGCUGGCGGCGUGCUUAACACAUGCAAGUCGAACGAUGAACCCGGAGCUUGCUCCGGUGGAUUAGUGGCGAACAGGUGAGUAACACGUGAGUAACCUGCCCUUGACUCUGGGAUAACUGCGGGAAACUGUAGCUAAUACCGGAUACGACCCUCGGCGGCAUCGCCAGGGGGUGGAAAGAAUUUCGGUCAAGGAUGGACUCGCGGCCUAUCAGCUAGUUGGUGAGGUAACGGCUCACCAAGGCGACGACGGGUAGCCGGCCUGAGAGGGUGACCGGCCACACUGGGACUGAGACACGGCCCAGACUCCUACGGGAGGCAGCAGUGGGGAAUAUUGCACAAUGGGCGCAAGCCUGAUGCAGCAACGCCGCGUGAGGGAUGACGGCCUUCGGGUUGUAAAGCUCUUUUACCCGGGAUGAUAAUGACGGUACCCGGAGAAGAAGCCCCGGCUAACUUCGUGCCAGCCGCCGCGGUAA
rnacentral:rRNA from 1 species